rnacentral:rRNA from 1 species
UACGGAGGGUGCGAGCGUUAUCCGGAAUCACUGGGCGUAAAGGGCGCGUAGGUGGCGCGACAAGUCAACGGUGAAAGCCCGGGGCUCAACCCCGGGUCGGCCGUCGAUACUGUUGGGCUUGAGCACUGUAGAGGCAGAUGGAAUUCCGGGUGUAGCGGUGGAAUGCGUAGAGAUCCGGAAGAACACCGGUGGCGAAGGCGGUCUGCUGGGCAGUAGCUGACACUGAUGCGCGACAGCGUGGGGAGCAAACAGG